GACCUGACUGCUAUCGGAUUGAUACUAAGCCAUGCGAGUCAUUGUAGCAAUACAAGGCAUACGGCUCAGUAACGCGUAGUCAACCUAACCUAUGGACGGGAAUAACCUCGGGAAACUGAGAAUAAUGCCCGAUAGAACAUUAUAUCUGGAAUGGUUUAUGUUCCAAAUGAUUUAUCGCCGUAGGAUGGGACUGCGGCCUAUCAGUUUGUUGGUGAGGUAAUGGCCCACCAAGACUAUUACAGGUACGGGCUCUGAGAGGAGUAGCCCGGAGAUGGGUACUGAGACACGGACCCAGGCCCUAUGGGGCGCAGCAGGCGAGAAAACUUUGCAAUGUGCGAAAGCACGACAAGGUUAAUCCGAGUGAUUUCUGCUAAAGAAAUCUUUUGUUAGUCCUAGAAACACUAACGAAUAAGGGGUGGGCAAGUUCUGGUGUCAGCCGCCGCGGUAAAACCAGCACCUCAAGUGGUCAGGAUGAUUAUUGGGCCUAAAGCAUCCGUAGCCGGCUCUGUAAGUUUUCGGUUAAAUCUGUACGCUUAACGUACAGGCCGCCGGGAAUACUGCAAAGCUAGGGAGUGGGAGAAGUAGACGGUACUCGGUAGGAAGUGGUAAAAUGCUUUGAUCUAUCGAUGACCACCUGUGGCGAAGGCGGUCUACUAGAACACGUCCGACGGUGAGGGAUGAAAGCUGGGGGAGCAAACCGGAUUAGAUACCCGGGUAGUCCCAGCUGUAAACUAUGCAAACUCAGUGAUGCAUUGGCUUGUGGCCAAUGCAGUGCUGCAGGGAAGCCGUUAAGUUUGCCGCCUGGGAAGUACGUACGCAAGUAUGAAACUUAAAGGAAUUGGCGGGGGAGCACCACAAGGGGUGAAGCCUGCGGUUCAAUUGGAUUCAACGCCGGG
rnacentral:rRNA from 1 species